rnacentral:lncRNA from 1 species
UGGUGGUGGUGGUGCGCCUCCGUAGUUUGCUGGAGGCCUCUGCCCUCCCAUAUUGUUAUGUGGCGGUGGUGGUCCUCCAUAGUUUGGUGGAGGCCUUUGUCCAUAAUUCUGCCCCAUGGGAGGUGGAGGGGGUGCAGAGCCACCCAUGUGAGGUGGAGGAGGGCCACCCAUGGGAGGACGUUGAGGAGGAGGGCCUCCAGCCAUGUUCUCUCUUCUCCUCUCAAAAUUUCUGCUUCUAUCAAAGUUUUUAGGACGGUCAUUGCGCCUGUUUCUUUCAUUGGCUCUAGCAUUGUUCCUUAUCCAUUCCUCGUGGUACUUGGGGUCAU